AAUGAUCAUUGCCAUGAUACAAUAUUUUUCUUCGCCUACUUUCUAACAAUUUAAAAGUAAAUUUUACUUUAAUGCUUGUUGGUUAUUACUAUUAUUAGUAUUAUUAAACAGUAACAUAAUUCAUUCGGAUUUAGUAGAUUUUUAGAACAUAACUAAUAUAGGGUUUUUUUUUUUGUAAAAAAUUGCUUAAUGUAUAUAGCAAUUUUUAUUAGAAAUUAAUGGAAUUUUUUGGGCAGUAGUAUGUAAAACUAAUAAAAGAUUUUAUUUUCAUUUUCUAUGUA
rnacentral:lncRNA from 1 species